rnacentral:rRNA from 1 species
CCUACGGGAGGCAGCAGUGGGGAAUUUUGCGCAAUGGGGGCAACCCUGACGCAGCAACGCCGCGUGAGUGAUGAAGGCCUUCGGGUCGUAAAGCUCUGUCAGAGGGGAAGAAAUGCAGGUGGUGAACAACCAUUCUGUUUGACGGUACCCUCAAAGGAAGCACCGGCUAACUCCGUGCCAGCAGCCGCGGUAAUACGGAGGGUGCAAGCGUUGUUCGGAAUCACUGGUCGUAAAGCGCGUGUAGGCGGGGCUGCAUGUCGGGGGUGAAAGCCCCCGGCUUACCCGGGGAAUUGCGCCCGAAACUGCAGCUCUUGAGUUCGGAAGAGGGAAGCGGAAUUCCCAGUGUAGUGGUAAAAUACGUAGAUAUUGGGAGGAACACCGGAGGCGAAAGCGGCUUCCGGGGCCGACACUGACGCUGAGACGCGAGAGCGUGGGGAGCAAACAGGAUUAGAUACCCGGGUAGU